rnacentral:rRNA from 1 species
ACUGAAACAUCUAAGUACCCUGAGGAAAAGAAAUCAACCGAGAUUCCCUUAGUAGUGGCGAGCGAACGGGGACUAGCCCUUAAGUGGCUUUGAGAUUAGCGGAACGCUCUGGAAAGUGCGGCCAUAGUGGGUGAUAGCCCUGUACGCGAAAAUCUCUUAGUCAUGAAAUCGAGUAGGACGUAGCACGAAAAACUUUGUCUGAAUAUGGGGGGACCAUCCUCCAAGGCUAAAUACUACUGACUGACCGAUAGUGAACUAGUACCGUGAGGGAAAGGCGAAAAGAACCCCGGAGAGGGGAGUGAAAUAGAUCCUGAAACCGUAUGCGUACAAGCAGUGGGAGCCCACUUUGUUGGGUGACUGCGUACCUUUUGUAUAAUGGGUCAGCGACUUAUUUUCAGUGGCGAGCUUAACCGAAUAGGGGAGGCGUAGCGAAAGCGGGUCUUAAUAGGGCGUCUAGUCGCUGGGAAUAGACCCGAAACCGGGCGAUCUAUCCAUGGGCAGGUUGAAGGUUGGGUAACACUAACUGGAGGACCGAACCGACUACCGUUGAAA